UACAGAGGUCUCAAGCGUUGUUCGGAUUCAUUGGGCGUAAAGGGUGCGUAGGCGGCGCGGUAAGUCGGGUGUGAAAUCUUGGAGCUUAACUCCGAAACUGCAUUCGAUACUGCCGUGCUUGAGGACUGGAGAGGAGACUGGAAUUUACGGUGUAGCGGUGAAAUGCGUAGAUAUCGUAAGGAAGACCAGUGGCGAAGGCGGCUCACUGGCCCGGUACUGACGC
rnacentral:rRNA from 1 species